rnacentral:rRNA from 1 species
GAUGAACGCUGGCGGCGUGCCUAAUACAUGCAAGUCGAGCGAACAGACGAGGAGCUUGCUCCUCUGACGUUAGCGGCGGACGGGUGAGUAACACGUGGAUAACCUACCUAUAAGACUGGGAUAACUUCGGGAAACCGAGCUAAUACCGGAUAAUAUAUUGAACCGCAUGGUUCAAUAGUGAAAGACGGUUUUGCUGUCACUUAUAGAUGGAUCCGCGCCGCAUUAGCUAGUUGGUAAGGUAACGGCUUACCAAGGCAACGAUGCGUAGCCGACCUGAGAGGGUGACCGGCCACACUGGAACUGAGACACGGUCCAGACUCCUACGGGAGGCAGCAGUAGGGAAUCUUCCGCAAUGGGCGAAAGCCUGACGGAGCAACGCCGCGUGAGUGAUGAAGGUCUUCGGAUCGUAAAACUCUGUUAUUAGGGAAGAACAAAUGUGUAAGUAACUAUGCACGUCUUGACGGUACCUAAUCAGAAAGCCACGGCUAACUACGUG